rnacentral:rRNA from 1 species
CCAGGUCAGGCGGGACUACCCGCA